rnacentral:rRNA from 1 species
AGGAUAAACGCCGGCGGCGUGCAUGAGACAUGCAAGUCGAACGGACGAUCAGGGCUUGCUCUGUUCGUUAGUGGCGGACGGCUGAGUAACGCGUAGGUGACCUGCCCCGAAGUGGGGAAUAACUGCCCGAAAGGGUGGCUAAUACCGCAUGUGGUGGUGCCUUCAUGGGCACCAGUAAAGCCGCAAGGCGCUUCGGGAGGGGCCUGCGUCCGAUUAGCUCGUGGGUGGGGUAACGGCUCACCAAGGCGACGAUCGGUAGGUGGUCUGAGAGGACGAUCACCCAGACUGGGACUGAGACACGGCCCAGACUCCUACGGGAGACAGCAGUCGGGAAUUUGCGCAAUGGACGAAAGUCUGACGCAGCAACGCCGCGCGAGGGAUGGCGGCCUUCGGGUUGUAAACCUCUUUUGUCAGGAAGAUGAUGACGGUACCUGGCGAAUAAGUCACGGCUAACCACGCGCCAGCAGCCGC